rnacentral:rRNA from 1 species
UACGUAGGGGGCAAGCGUUGUCCGGAAUCAUUGGGCGUAAAGAGCGCGUAGGCGGUCCGGUAAGUCCGCUCUGAAAGUCCAGGGCUCAACCCUGGAAAGCGGGUGGAUACUGCCGGGCUAGAAUCCGGAAGAGGCGAGUGGAAUUCCUGGUGUAGCGGUGGAAUGCGCAGAUAUCAGGAGGAACACCAAUAGCGAAGGCAGCUCGCUGGGACGGUAUUGACGCUAAGGCGCGAAAGCGUGGGGAGCAAACAGG